rnacentral:rRNA from 1 species
UACGGAGGGUGCGAGCGUUGUCCGGAAUCACUGGGCGUAAAGGGCGCGUAGGCGGUUCGUUAAGUUGCUGGUGAAAUCCCGGGGCUCAACUCCGGGGCUGCCAGUAAGACUGGCGGGCUAGAGCACGGUAGAGGCGGAUGGAAUUCCCGGUGUAGCGGUGGAAUGCGUAGAUAUCGGGAAGAAUACCGGUGGCGAAGGCGGGUCUCUGGGCCGAUACUGACGCUGAGGAGCGAAAGCGUGGGGAGCGAACAGG